UGCAAGUCGAACGGCGUCCCUCGGGGCGCAGUGGCGCACGGGUGCGUAACGCGUAUGCAACCUACCUUGAACUGGGGGAUAGCCCGGAGAAAUCCGGAUUAAUACCGCAUAACACCAUGUGAGGGCAUCUGAGUAUGGUUAAAGAUUCAUUGGUUCAAGAUGGGCAUGCGUGCCAUUAGCUAGUUGGUGGUGUAACGGACCACCAAGGCUACGAUGGCUAGGGGUUCUGAGAGGACGGUCCCCCACACUGGCACUGAGAUACGGGCCAGACUCCUACGGGAGGCAGCAGUAGGGAAUAUUGGGCAAUGGGCGGAAGCCUGACCCAGCCAUGCCGCGUGCAGGAUGAAGGCCUUCUGGGUUGUAAACUGCUUUUAUCAGGGAAGAAAACACCCAUGCGUGGGGAACUGACGGUACCUGAGGAAUAAGCACCGGCUAACUCCGUGCCAGCAGCCGCGGUAAUACGGAGGGUGCAAGCGUUGUCCGGAUUUAUUGGGUUUAAAGGGUGCGUAGGCGGCCCAUUAAGUCAGUGGUGAAAGCCCGGGGCUCAACCCCGGAACCGCCAUUGAUACUGGUGGGCUUGAGUAUGGACGAGGUUGGCGGAAUUGAGGGUGUAGCGGUGAAAUGCUUAGAUACCCUCAAGAACACCGAUUGCGUAGGCAGCUAACUAGGCCAUAACUGACGCUGAGGCACGAAAGCGUGGGGAGCGAACAGGAUUAGAUACCCUGGUAGUCCACGCCGUAAACGAUGAUUACUCGAUGUCGGCGACAGACUGUCGGCGUCUUAGCGAAAGCGUUAAGUAAUCCACCUGGGGAGUACGCCCGCAAGGGUGAAACUC
rnacentral:rRNA from 1 species